ACAGCAGCAGCCGCGGUAAUACGGAAGGUCCAGGCGUUAUCCGGAUUUAUUGGGUUUAAAGGGAGCGUAGGCUGGAGAUUAAGUGUGUUGUGAAAUGUAGACGCUCAACGUCUGACUUGCAGCGCAUACUGGUUUCCUUGAGUACGCACAACGUUGGCGGAAUUCGUCGUGUAGCGGUGAAAUGCUUAGAUAUGACGAAGAACUCCGAUUGCGAAGGCAGCUGACGGGAGCGCAACUGACGCUUAAGCUCGAAGGUGCGGGUAUCAAACAGGAUUAGAUACCCCUGUAGUCCCUGUCUCUUAUAC
rnacentral:rRNA from 1 species